GGUUAAGCGAACAAGCGUACACGGUGGAUGCCCUGGCAGUCAGAGGCGAUGAAGGACGUGCUAAUCUGCGAAAAGCGCCGGUAAGGUGAUAUGAACCGUUAUAACCGGCGAUGUCCGAAUGGGGAAACCCGGUGCACUUCGGUGCAUCAUCGUUAGCUGAAUACAUAGGCUAACGAGGCGAACCGGGGGAACUGAAACAUCUAAGUACCCCGAGGAAAAGAAAUCAACCGAGAUUCCCCCAGUAGCGGCGAGCGAACGGGGAACAGCCCAGAGCCUGAAUCAGCUUGUGUGUCAGUGGAACGGUCUGGAAAGGCCGGCGAUACAGGGUGACAGCCCCGUACACGAAGGCACACAGGCUGUGAGCUCGAUGAGUAGGGCGGGACACGUGAUAUCCUGUCUGAAGAUGGGGGGACCAUCCUCCAAGGCUAAAUACUCCUGACUGACCGAUAGUGAACCAGUACCGUGAGGGAAAGGCGAAAAGAACCCCGGCGAGGGGAGUGAAACAGAACCUGAAACCGUGUACGUACAAGCAGUGGGAGCCUUCGUAAGAGGGUGACUGCGUACCUUUUGUAUAAUGGGUCAGCGACUUAUAUUCUGUAGCAAGGUUAACCGUAUAGGGGAGCCGAAGGGAAACCGAGUCUUAAUUGGGCGUUAAGUUGCAGGGUAUAGACCCGAAACCCGGUGAUCUAGCCAUGGGCAGGUUGAAGGUUGGGUAACACUAACUGGAGGACCGAACCGACUAAUGUUGAAAAAUUAGCGGAUGACCUGUGGCUGGGGGUGAAAGGCCAAUCAAACCGGGAGAUAGCUGGUUCUCCCCGAAAGCUAUUUAGGUAGCGCCUCGUGAACUCAUCUCCGGGGGUAGAGCACUGUUUCGGCUAGGGGGCCAUCCCGGCUUACCAACCCGAUGCAAACUGCGAAUACCGGAGAAUGUUAUCACGGGAGACACACGGCGGGUGCUAACGUCCGUCGUGAAGAGGGAAACAACCCAGACCGCCAGCUAAGGUCCCAAAGUCAUGGUUAAGUGGGAAACGAUGUGGGAAGGCCCAGACAGCCAGGAUGUUGGCUUAGAAGCAGCCAUCAUUUAAAGAAAGCGUAAUAGCUCACUGGUCGAGUCGGCCUGCGCGGAAGAUGUAACGGGGCUAAACCAUGCACCGAAGCUGCGGCAGCGACACUAUGUGUUGUUGGGUAGGGGAGCGUUCUGUAAGCCUGCGAAGGUGUGCUGUGAGGCAUGCUGGAGGUAUCAGAAGUGCGAAUGCUGACAUAAGUAACGAUAAAGCGGGUGAAAAGCCCGCUCGCCGGAAGACCAAGGGUUCCUGUCCAACGUUAAUCGGGGCAGGGUGAGUCGACCCCUAAGGCGAGGCCGAAAGGCGUAGUCGAUGGGAAACAGGUUAAUAUUCCUGUACUUGGUGUUACUGCGAAGGGGGGACGGAGAAGGCUAUGUCGGCCGGGCGACGGUUGUCCCGGUUUAAGCGUGUAGGCUGACUUUCCAGGCAAAUCCGGAAGGUUAAGGCUGAGGCGUGAUGACGAGGCACCACGGUGCUGAAGUGACAAAUGCCCUGCUUCCAGGAAAAGCCUCUAAGCAUCAGGUAACAUCAAAUCGUACCCCAAACCGACACAGGUGGUCAGGUAGAGAAUACCAAGGCGCUUGAGAGAACUCGGGUGAAGGAACUAGGCAAAAUGGUGCCGUAACUUCGGGAGAAGGCACGCUGACAUGUAGGUGAAGCCCCUGCGGGUGGAGCUGAAGUCAGUCGAAGAUACCAGCUGGCUGCAACUGUUUAUUAAAAACACAGCACUGUGCAAACACGAAAGUGGACGUAUACGGUGUGACGCCUGCCCGGUGCCGGAAGGUUAAUUGAUGGGGUUAUCGCAAGAGAAGCUCCUGAUCGAAGCCCCGGUAAACGGCGGCCGUAACUAUAACGGUCCUAAGGUAGCGAAAUUCCUUGUCGGGUAAGUUCCGACCUGCACGAAUGGCGUAAUGAUGGCCAGGCUGUCUCCACCCGAGACUCAGUGAAAUUGAACUCGCUGUGAAGAUGCAGUGUACCCGCGGCAAGACGGAAAGACCCCGUGAACCUUUACUACAGCUUGACACUGAACAUUGAGCCUUGAUGUGUAGGAUAGGUGGGAGGCUUUGAAGCGUGGACGCCAGUCUGCGUGGAGCCAACCUUGAAAUACCACCCUUUAAUGUUUGAUGUUCUAACCUGGCGCCGUGAUCCGGCGUGGGGACAGUGUCUGGUGGGUAGUUUGACUGGGGCGGUCUCCUCCCAAAGUGUAACGGAGGAGCACGAAGGUCAGCUAAUCCUGGUCGGACAUCAGGAGGUUAGUGCAAUGGCAUAAGCUGGCUUGACUGCGAGAGUGACGGCUCGAGCAGGUGCGAAAGCAGGUCAUAGUGAUCCGGUGGUUCUGUAUGGAAGGGCCAUCGCUCAACGGAUAAAAGGUACUCCGGGGAUAACAGGCUGAUACCGCCCAAGAGUUCAUAUCGACGGCGGUGUUUGGCACCUCGAUGUCGGCUCAUCACAUCCUGGGGCUGAAGUAGGUCCCAAGGGUAUGGCUGUUCGCCAUUUAAAGUGGUACGCGAGCUGGGUUUAGAACGUCGUGAGACAGUUCGGUCCCUAUCUGCCGUGGGCGCUGGAGAAUUGAGGGGAGCUGCUCCCAGUACGAGAGGACCGGAGUGGACGCAUCACUGGUGUUCGGGUUGUCAUGCCAAUGGCACUGCCCGGUAGCUAAAUGCGGAAGAGAUAAGUGCUGAAAGCAUCUAAGCACGAAACUUGCCCCGAGAUGAGUUCUCCCUGAGACUGUAAGUCUCCUGAAGGAACGUUGAAGACGACGACGUUGAUAGGCCGGGUGUGUAAGCGCAGCGAUGCGUUGAGCUAACCGGUACUAAUGAACCGUGAGGCUUAACCUU
rnacentral:rRNA from 1 species